rfam:Chlorocebus sabaeus isolate 1994-021 chromosome 2, whole genome shotgun sequence.
ACUUUUAAAGGAUUACAGCUAUCCAUUGGUCUUAGGAACCAAAAAUAUUGGUGCAACUCCAAGUAAAAGUA